rnacentral:rRNA from 1 species
UACGUAAGGUCCGAGCGUUGUCCGGAAUCAUUGGGCGUAAAGGGUACGUAGGCGGAUAAGCAAGUUAGAAGUGAAAUCCUAUAGCUCAACUAUAGUAAGCUUUUAAAACUGCUCAUCUUGAGGUAUGGAAGGGAAAGUGGAAUUCCUAGUGUAGCGGUGGAAUGCGUAGAUAUUAGGAGGAAUACCAGUGGCGAAGGCGACUUACUGGACUUCAACUGACGCUGAGGAACGAAAGCAUGGGUAGCAAACAGG